CUUUGCCUCGUCAGCUCUUGGGAUUGGGAUUCCUGCAUCGGGUAUCCGUCGAUCCUCCAAAAUACCGCAUCGCGGGUCAAAGGACCACGCCGGUCAUCUGUCCCUGUCAGAGGCGUAGCAUCCGGAAUGUCCGAACUAUUCGAUAAUGCCCUACUGUUGUGUGACGGAAAGUUGACAUAAACUAUGGUUUCAAAAUGUAUUUCUCAAGUGUGAUUAAAAUCUCUCGUCCAACUCUGUGAUGCGAUGCAGCGGUACUCGUUGGAAAAGACAAAUGUAUGCAUAACAUACGAGGGUCGGUGAAAUAUAAACGAAACAUGUUGAGCUGUGGCGAUUUUCGUUUGUUAUUUAUUGCCACGAGGGAGCAACAAGUACCAACUUCGAUCGUCCAACGCAACGGAAUGAAAAUUAUUAUAUAGCUGUAUCGAAGUUUCAAAUGCUUGAAUUUCAUCAAAAUUGGCAUCUAACUGUUAGCGACAUUCCCUUGUUAGACGAACGUGUAUCGAGGCGUGUAAAGAACAGGCAACAGAGUCGUCUUAUUACAGUCUAUCUCCAAGAUCGGUCCGUUUAACGGCGGCGUUUGCCUUUUACGGGUACGUGGGAAACUGAUUUACCGAAUGUGCACGCGAAACGACUCGAGUCCACACGCACGGAACCACGGAACGACGUACAAUGAUCCAUGGAUGCGACCGGGCUACGAACGACGAUAUUGCGCGUUGUAAAUCGGGAUCGAGGGGCUCUUACCGAAAGACGAGGCAGUAAAGAAUAGCUGCAUAAUUCGCCUCAGUCCUUCUCGCCAGCAUCGAAGCGUCACGAGGAAGUCGUAGCGCAGGCUCGUAAAUUCCGGAAAAGGACAUGGAAGCCUUGCGGUGAUGCAUCGUGCGUUCCUCCCCAGCAACAGAAAAAAAGGAAAGAACAACGAAAGUGCAACCGGAUAAAUAAAACGGACGAAACUCGAGCGUAAUAAAAUAGCCGUGAACUCGAUGCACGUUCGACGGAGGCGCAACCGAGUAGGACCGAUCGUUGGUAGCGGCAGCAUCAGCGUCAGAGUCAGCAUCAGCGUCGAAGAACGGAAGGGCCCUCGGGCAGCGCGAGAUGGGGGCCUGCGAAGCAUCCUGGCGUGGCGUGGCCGUGCGGUUGGUACACGGUGUUCGUGUUCCACGAGGAGCUCUAUCCUUCUCUGUCUCUGGUACACGUUCAUACGUGUACCGACGAGGCUGUGUUGGCAGAGCGUCGCGGUAGCCGCGCCAGAGAGAUGGGAUUGCGCGAUAGGCCGCGUGUCGAAAAUAGAAAUAUAAUCUGAUAGGCUCAUUGUGCCUCGAGCCACUCGCUGCUAUCUGCCACUACUACCGACGAAUCCGUGCUCGCUACCUCGACUCUCCUUCUCUCUUCCUUGACCCUUCUUCUACCUUUCCCGUCUUUCGCCGUAUCGAGAACCCUCCCCCGUCCUUUACCCGCGUAUUUUCUGCCUGUCCGUUAUUGCUAGACCGCGCGUGGCUAGAUCCUCGCGAAAGACAAAGUGAACAUACGUUCCCUCCACGCAAAUCCACCGACUACCUUGUUCUUCCUCCACCUCCGCUCCCGUCUCGUGUCGCGAGAAACAUACGCGAGACGUUUUUAUCGGACCAGAUUUAGGAGGCAGUUCCGCGGAGAGGUUAUUUACGAGCGCAAGUUUUAUCGCAAGGGAACGGAAAGCAGUAAACGGUGCUUACUUUUAAUAACUGACCAACCGCUCCAGAUCCUGCGGUGGUCGACGGGGACGAAGCAUUCCGGGGGAAAGCCGCAAUUUGUAGGAAAAAAAAGUUACGAAGGUCCUUUCCUUGCCGCGAGGCUGGGCCGUAAACCACGGCACAGCGGGAGCGUGACCAAUGGCAUCGUGAUCGUAAAGAAAUUAGAGGGGCAGUAAUGGUUUCCGGGUACGAUGCUUUCCGGUCAGCAUACAUCUUCUACGGGGUGGCCGCGGACACGCGGUCGCUAUAUUGGUUUAGCGAGUGACCCUUCCCGCCGACAAUGUCGGAACGGAGCCAUUUGUUGUUCCGACGACGUUGUACGAAGUAACCAUAAAGUUUCUACCCUACUUUGGUUGAUCAAUUAGAAUGUUUAGUCUACAUCGAGGAGCAAGACGAAAAACGAUGCGGAGGAUGUAAAAGGUAUCCCAAUAGUAAUCCAUGAUAACUGGAUUCGUUCAGUCAUUCUGCCGACACUCUACCAUCGCAAGCGAAAGUUUGAUUUGAAAAGAUUCAGCGAUCUUCCGAUUCUAGUAACCAACGAUAAAACCAAUUUGAUUUGCGGAACGUCCUUCUCCUACGAACCGAAUAGCUUCACGGCGCUCUCCGGGAACGCGCGAACGUACAAACAGAGAUGCAAUCAGGGACGCGACUAUCGGCCCGUGUCGAGUACGAACGUGGCUUCACGUGUGGGAUGUAUCGUAGCUUUUGUCGCAUACCAUCGACCGCGUAGCAUCGGAAGCUGCCAUCGAUGGACGGUAGCGUUUGACGUAACAAUCGGAGUCUUGCCUGUCCACUGACUCCUUGGAUUAAAUAAAACUGUAAGAAGCUGUGGAGACUCUCGAGCGAUGAUCUGCCUAUUCGACCGUAAAUUGCA